rnacentral:rRNA from 1 species
AUUGAACGCUGGCGGCAGGCCUAACACAUGCAAGUCGAGCGAGCGGCGGACGGGUGAGUAAUGUAUGGGGACUGACCGAUAGCUGGGGAUAACUACUGGAAACGGUAGCUAAUACAGCAUACUAUCGGAUAACCCAUAUGGGUUUCGCUAGUAGGUUAGGUAAUGGCUCACCUAGGCGAGGAUCCCUAGCUUGUCUGAGAGGAUGAUCAGGCACACUGCGACGGAGAUACGGCCCAGUCGCCAAUGGAGGCAGCAGAGGGGAAUAUUGCACAAGUGGCGCAAGGCUGAUGCAUCCAUGCCGCGUGUAUGAAAGAGUGCCUAGGGUUUGAAAGUACGUUCAGUCGGGUGGAGUUACCAAAAGAAGAAGCACCGGCUAACUCCGUGCCAGCAGCCGCGGUAAUUC